GACGAACGCUGGCGGCGUGCUUAACACAUGCAAGUCGAACGAAGUGGCGAACGGGUGAGUAACGCGUAAUCAACCUGCCCUUCAGAGGGGGACAACAGUUGGAAACGACUGCUAAUACAGCAUACUGAAGUAGGGGAUUGCGUCUGAUUAGCUAGUUGGGGGGGUAACGGCCCCCGAAGGCGAGGACCGGUAGCCGGUCUGAGCGGAUGAACGUCUACAGUGGGACGGAGACACGGCCCAGACUCCUACGGGAGGCAGCAGUGGGGAAUCUUCCGCAAUGGACGAAAGUCUGACGGAGCAACGCCGCGUGAGUGAUGACGGCCUUCGGGUUGUAAAGCUCUGUUAAUCGGGACGCGGUACCGGAAUAGAAAGCCACGGCUAACUACGUGCCAGCAGCCGCGGUAAUAC
rnacentral:rRNA from 1 species